AUUGAACGCUAGCGGGAUGCUUUACACAUGCAAGUCGAACGAGUGGCGGAAGGGUGAGUAAUAUAUCGGAACGUGCCCAGUAGCGGGGGAUAACUACUCGAAAGAGAGGCUAAUACAGCAUACUAUUGGAGCGGCCGAUAUCGGAUUAGCGAGUUGGUGGGGUAAAGGCUCACCAAGGACACGAUCCGUAGGUGGUUUGAGAGGACGAACAGCCACACUGGGACUGAGACAGGGCCCAGACUCCGCCGGGAGGCGUCAGUGGGGAAUUUUGUACACUGGGGGAAACCCUGAUCCAGCCAUCCCGCGUGUAUGAGAAGGCCUUCGGGUUGUAAAGUACUUUGGGCAGAGAAGCGGUAUCUGCAGAAUAAGCACCGGCUAACUACGUGCCAGCAGCCGCGGUAAUAC
rnacentral:rRNA from 1 species